GCAAGUCGAGCGGAAACGGCAAUAAAGAUUCUUCGGAUGAUUUAUUGGACGUAGCGCGGCGGACGGGUGAGUAAUGCUUAGGAAGUUGCCCAGUCGAGGGGGAUAACUAGUGGAAACGAUAGCUAAUACCGCAUACGCCUUACGUGGGAAAAGAGGGGACCGUCGGGCCUUCUGCGAUUGGAUAAGCCUAAGUGAGAUUAGCUAGUUGGUGAGGUAAUGGCUCACCAAGGCGACGAUCUCUAGCUGGUCUGAGAGGAUGAUC
rnacentral:rRNA from 1 species